GGAGUUAGCCCGGUGCUUCUUCUGUGAGUGAUGUCCUUCCUGCCGGCUAUUAACCCGCAGGCCUUCUUCCUCACUGAAAGUGCUUUACAACCCGAAGGCCUUCUUCACACACGCGGCAUGGCUGGAUCAGGGUUGCCCCCAUUGUCCAAUAUUCCCCACUGCUGCCUCCCGUAGGAGUCUGGGCCGUGUCUCAGUCCCAGUGUGGCUCGAUCAUCCUCUCAGACCAGCUACGGAUCGUCGCCUUGGUGAGCCGUUACCUCACCAACCAGCUAAUCCGACAUAGGCUCAUCCCGAUAGCGCGAGGCCCGAAGGUCCCCCGCUUUCCCCCGUAGGGCGUAUGCGGUAUUAGCCUGGGUUUCCCCAGGUUAUCCCCCACUACCGGGCAGAUUCCUAUGCAUUACUCACCCGUCCGCCGCUCGCCACCAGGGAGCAAGCUCCCCGUGCUGCCGCUCGACUUGCAUGUGUUAGGCCUGCCGCCAGCGUUCAAUCUGAGCCAGAAUCAAACUCUGA
rnacentral:rRNA from 1 species